UACAGAGGCCUCGAGCGUUAGGCGGAAUCACUGGGCUUAAAGCGUGUGUAGGCGGACUUCUAAGUACCUUGUGAAAUCCCACGGCUUACCCGUGGAACUGCUGGGUAUACUGGUUGUCUUGAGCCACUUAGGGGCUACCGGAACAAAUGGUGGAGCGGUGAAAUGCGUAGAUAUCAUUUGGAACGCCAAUGGUGAAAACAGGUAGCUGGGAGUGUGCCGACGCUGAGACACGAAAGCCAGGGGAGCGAACGGG
rnacentral:rRNA from 1 species